CCCUGGCAAUGGAGAGGUGUGAGCUCUGCCCUGGCACGGCCGUGCUCUGUCACACACCCACCGCAGGCAGCCCUGCCUGGACCUGCCGGGACAUGCAGCAGGUGAGAGUGAGUCUGGUAGGCUCGUGCCACCUCCCAGCCCCAUCUGUGUGCACAGCAGGUGCUUCAGGCUCUUUUCCAGCAGAAAGCCACCUUGUUUGCCCGGGUUGGGCAUCCUGCAGCACGACUGGAAAACUGCUUCCAGUGCCCAUCCAAUACGAGAUGCUCGAGGACAGAAUGUCACCUGAAUGAGCUACUCCCUACACUAAGCAGAAGGUGACUGGACAAUUUACAUCUGCACACUUAUCAAAAGGAAGGCUGAAGAAUCAUAUUUAUUGGGUUCUCCACAGCCACAGGCCUGUGUUUAGUCCCAUGGUGCAGGAGGACCACAAGUGGAAGCACAGCCUGGUGAGCCCCAGCAAGCAGAUCCUAACCCUGAGACACAGAUGUGCUGGACAGGAGAGCCCUGCCCUGCCCAACACUGUGGCAACAAAGGUGUUCAUCAGUACAGACACCUGACCAUCUGAGAGGUCAGAAGGUCACUCAGCCUGACCAAAGUGACCCAACCCCUGCCCAGUGCACCCCCAAACACGAGGAAAACGGGGCUGGAACUCCCCAACCCCUCGGAGCCUGGAAUGAAGGAGCCAUAAAAACCCUUCCCAGCGUCCCACUGAACGGAGCUGCUUUGCCACCACGGUUGGGGUCGCUUUUUUUCAAGUACUA